ensembl:lncRNA
CUAACAAUCAUACCCACACUCCAAACGUCAGGUACAUGAAUUGGAACCCUAAACCUAAACCUACUCCUAACCCUAACCCUAACCCUAAGCCGCAGGACCAAAUCACAAUACCCAGGUUCUUGACAUUCGACAUUAUCCCUCACCCUCCCCAUGAACUUACGCUAAUACUAACUUUUCCAACCCACACUUGAAGACCCAAGCAUUUCAAUUUCAAUGCUAUCUAUCACCCUAACCCUAACCCUAACCCUAACCCUAACCCUAACCCUAAGUCAUUUUCAUGUACCUUUACUUCAGCACUAUCCAUGACAUUUACGAAAAGAAGAACCCUAUCCCUAAAAAUCAUACCCACACUCCAAACGUCAGGUGCGUGAAUUGGAAUCCUAAACCUAAACCUACUCCUAACCCUAACCCUAAGCAACAGGACCAAAUUCCUAUACCCAGGAACUUGAAAUUCUACAUUAUCCCUAACCCUCACCAUAAAUUUACACUAAAACUAAUUUUCUAACCCACACUUGAAGACACAGGCAUUUCAAUUUCCAUGCUAUUUAUCACCUAAACCCUAACCCAAACCCUUACCCUCCCCUAACCCUAUGUCAUUUUCAUGUACCUCUAUUUCAGAACUAUCCAUGACACUUACAAAAAGAAGAACCCUAACCCGAAAAAUCAUCUACACACUCCAAACGUCAGGUGCAUGAAUUGGAAUCCUAAAUCUAAUCCUAAUCCUUUCCCUAACCCUAAGCAGCAGGACCAAAUUCCAAUUCACAGGUACUUGAAAUUCUACAUUAUCCCUCACCCUCCCCAUGUACUUACGCUAAUACUAUCUUUCCAACCCACACUUGAAGACACAAGAAUUUCAAUAUCAAUGCUAUCUAUCACCCUUAACCGACCCCUAACCCUAACACUACCAUAAGCCUAAACCAUUUUCACGUAGCUCUAUUUCAGCACUAUCCAUGACAAUUACGAAAAUAAGAACCGUAACCCUAAAAAUCUUACCCACACUCCAAACGUCAGGUACAUUUAUUGGAAUCCUAAAGCUAAACCUAAUCCUAUCCCUAACCCUAACCCUAAGCAACAGGACCAAAUUCCAAUAAACAGGUACUUGAAAUUCUACAGUAUCCCUAACCCUCAUCAUGAAUUACACUAAUACUAACUUUCCAUCCCACACUUGAAGACACAGGCAUUUCAAUUUCAAUGCUAUCUAUCACCCUAACCCUAACCCUAAGCCUAACACUUACCCUUCCCUAACCCUAAGUCAUUUUCAGGUACCUCAAUUUCAGCCCUAUCCAUGACACUUACUAAAAGAAGAACCCUAACCCCCAAAAUCAUACCCACACUCCAAACAUCAGGUACAUGAAAUGGAACCCUAAACCCAAAACUAAUCCUAUCCCUAACCCUAAGCACCAGGAACAAAUUCCAAUACCCAGGUACUUGAAAUUCUACAUUAUCCUUAACCCUCACCAUGAACUUACCCUAAUCCGAAUGCGUUCCAUUCACCUUACCACAUCUCGUACCAUGGGGGAAUAUUUUGAGAUGGCACAAUUCUGCUCUCAAAGUGGAAGCGUCAUCCUGGCCAAUGAACCACCACUCCAAGCUAACGGGUUGUUUCCAAAAUUGCUCAGGACCUGUCACAGGAAUAAUGAGUUGGUUUUCAAUCUGUGAUACCACAUCUCCUGCCACAGAGGAGGUUUCUGUCCUGGCACUACACUGCUCCUGUAAUGGAGUUGCCUUCCAGUUUGACAUAAGCCCGAUCUGAGCUAACGGGAUGCUUCUAAAUUGACUCAGAACCUCUCAAAGUAAAAAAGAGAGUGUGUUCUAUCUAACUUACCACAUCUCCUGCAAGGGGGAAUAUUUUGGGAUGGCACCAUGUCACUACCUUAUUGGAGGCUGUUUCUGGGCCACAUUACGGACACUCCCAUUUAAUGGGAUGCUUCUGAAAUGGCUCGGAACCUCUCACAGUAAAAAAGAGAUUUCGUUCGAUCUACCUUAACACGUCUCCUGCCACAGGGGAGGAUUCUGGCAAGGCAUCACUCCACGCCCAUAGUGGAGCCGACUUCAGGCCACCUUACAGCCACUCCCAGCUAAUUGGAUGCUUCCAAAAUGGUUCAGAACCACACACAGUAAAAAAGAGAAUGUGUUCCAUCCAUCUUACCACAUCUCCUGCUACAGGGGAGUAUUUUGGAAUGGCACAAUGAUGCUCUCCAAGUGGAGGCAUCUUCCCAGCCACCGUUCUGCCACUCCCAGCUAAUGGGUUGCUUCUCACAUGGCUCAGAACUGCUCACAGGAAAAAGACAAUGCGUUCAAUCUGCCUUACCACAUUUCCUGUAAUGGGGGAGGAUUCUGGCAUGGCACCAUGCCACUCCCAAAUUGAAGGCAGACACCUGGCCACAGUACCGAUGAUCACAGCUAACAGGAUGCUUCUCAAAUGGCUCAGAACAGCUCACAGGAAAAAAGAGAAUGUGUUCCAUCCACCUUACCACAUCUCCUGCCACGGGGGAAUAUUUUGGGAUGGCAAAAUGGCACUACUGCAGUGGAGGCAUCUUCCUGGCCAACAUACUGCCACUCCCAGCUAAUGGGUUGCUUCCAAAAUGGCUCAGAACCACUCACAGGAAAAAACAGAAUGUGUUCGAUCUAUGUUACCAAAUUUCUUGCAAUGGGGGAGGAUUCUGACAUGGCACCAUGCUGCUCCCAGAGUGGAGGCAGACUCCAGGCCACCCUACUGAUGAUCACAGCUUAUGGGAUGCUUCUGAAAGGGCUCAGAAACACUCAUAGGAAAAAAGAGAAAGCUUUUGACCUGCCAUACCACAUCUCCUGCUAUGGCGGAGUAUUCUGGCCUGGCAAUACCCUGUUCCAGUAGUCAAGGCAGCUUCCUGGCCACCGUAUGUCUGAUGCCAGCUAAUGGGAUGCUUCCAUAAUGGCUCAGAACAGCUCACAGUAAAAAGCAGAUUGCAUUCGAUCUACUUUACCACAUCUCCGGCCACAGUGGAGGAUUCUGGCAUGGCACCACUCCACUCCCAAAGUGGAGGUGGCUUCCUGGCCACCGU